AACAAUUGUAGUUCAUACGAAGUUCAUUCUGAAAUGGAGUGGUGGGUGUAUUGCAUGGUUCUAGAGAUUGGAUUUCACUCAAAACCGUCCUAAUGACUCCUCCCACUAUAUUAUGUUGUUCCCCAAAUUUUGGAAUCAUUCCGAUAUCGACUGGUCCAUCAAAUUGGACAAUUGAAGUUCAUAUGAAGUUCGUUCUUAAAUGGAGUGGUUGGUGUAUUGUACAGUUCUAGAGAUUGGCUUUC
rnacentral:lncRNA from 1 species